AGAACGAACGCUGGCGGCAGGCUUAACACAUGCAAGUCGAACGCUCGUAGCAAUACGGGAGUGGCAGACGGGUGAGUAACGCGUGGGGACAUACCCUCCGGUUCGGAAUAGCUCAGGGAAACUUGGAUUAAUACCGGAUACGGCUGUGAGGCGAAAGAUUUAUCGCCGGAGGAUUGGCCCGCGUUCGAUUAGCUUGUUGGUGAGGUAACGGCUCACCAAGGCGAUGAUCGAUAGCUGGUCUGAGAGGAUGAUCAGCCACAUUGGGACUGAGACACGGCCCAAACUCCUACGGGAGGCAGCAGUGGGGAAUAUUGGACAAUGGGCGCAAGCCUGAUCCAGCCAUGCCGCGUGAGUGAUGACGGCCUUAGGGUUGUAAAGCUCUUUCGCUCGGGACGAUAAUGACGGUACCGAGAUAAGAAGCCCGGCUAACUCGUGCCAGCAGCCGC
rnacentral:rRNA from 1 species